rnacentral:rRNA from 1 species
GGGGGCAACCCUGAACCAGCCAUGCCGCGUGCAGGACGACUGCCCUAUGGGUUGUAAACUGCUUUUGUUAGGGAAUAAACCCCGCUACGUGUAGCGGGCUGAAUGUACCUAAAGAAUAAGGAUCGGCUAACUCCGUGCCAGCAGCCGCGGUAAUACGGAGGAUCCGAGCGUUAUCCGGAUUUAUUGGGUUUAAAGGGUGCGUAGGCGGCACUUUAAGUCAGGGGUGAAAGACGGCAGCUCAACUGUCGCAGUGCCCUUGAUACUGAAGUGCUUGAAUGCGGUUGAAGACGGCGGAAUGAGACAAGUAGCGGUGAAAUGCAUAGAUAUGUCUCAGAACACCGAUUGCGAAGGCAGCUGUCUAAGCCGUUAUUGACGCUGAUGCACGAAAGCGUGGGGAUCGAACAGGAUUAGAUACCCUGGUAGUCCACGCCCUAAACGAUGAUGACUCGAUGUUUGCGAUAUACCGUAAGCGUCCAAGCGAAAGCGUUAAGUCAUCCACCUGGG